UACGUAGGGUGCAAGCGUUGUCCGGAAUUAUUGGGCGUAAAGAGCUCGUAGGCGGUCUGUCGCGUCUGCUGUGAAAACCUGGGGCUUAACCCCGGGCCUGCAGUGGGUACGGGCAGACUAGAGUGUGGUAGGGGAGACUGGAAUUCCUGGUGUAGCGGUGAAAUGCGCAGAUAUCAGGAGGAACACCGGUGGCGAAGGCGGGUCGCUGGGCCAUAACUGACGCUGAGGAGCGAAAGCGUGGGGAGCGAACAGG
rnacentral:rRNA from 1 species